rfam:Lottia gigantea unplaced genomic scaffold LOTGIsca_1151, whole genome shotgun sequence.
GGUUCUAUGGUGUAAUGGUUAGCACUCUGGACUUUGAAUCCAGCGAUCCGAGUUCGAGUCUCGGUAGAACCU